GCCUACCAAGGCGACGAUCAGUAGCCGGCCUGAGAGGGUGAACGGCCACAUUGGGACUGAGAUACGGCCCAGACUCCUACGGGAGGCAGCAGUUAAGAAUCUUGCGCAAUGGGGGCAACCCUGACGCAGCGACGCCGCGUGAAUGAUGAAGGCCUUCGGGUUGUAAAGUUCAUUAAGCAGGGAAGAAUAAGCAAGAGGUAAUAUUUCUUGUGAUGACGGUACCUGCCUAAAGCCCCGGCUAACUACGUGCCAGCAGCCGCGGUAAUACGUAUGGGGCGAGCGUUGUUCGGAAUUAUUGGGCGUAAAGGGCGUCUAGGCGGGAAAAUAAGUUAGAUGUGAAAGGCAUGGGCUCAACCCGUGGAUUGCAUCUAAAACUGUUUUUCUUGAGUUCGGGAGAGGAGUGCGGAAUUCCGGGUGUAGCGGUGAAAUGCGUAGAUAUCCGGAAGAACACCAGUGGCGAAGGCGGCACUCUGGCCUAGAACUGACGCUGAAGCGCGAAAGCGUGGGGAGCGAACGGGAUUAGAUACCCCGGUAGUCCACGCUGUAAACGUUGUAUACUAGGUGUUGGCGGCUUGACUGCCAGUGCCGAAGCAAACGCAUUAAGUAUACCGCCUGGGGAGUACGACCGCAAGGUUGAAACUCAAAGAAAUUGACGGGGGCCCGCACAAGCGGUGGAGCAUGUGGUUUAAUUCGAUGAUACGCGAAGAACCUUACCUGGGCUUGAACUGUACAGGACAGACGCAGAGAUGUGUUUUCCCUUCGGGGUCUGUAUAGAGGUGCUGCAUGGUUGUCGUCAGCUCGUGUCGUGAGAUGUUGGGUUAAGUCCCGCAACGAGCGCAACCCCUACUCUCUGUUGCUAUCAGGUUAAGCUGGGCACUCUGAGGGAACUGCCGGUGACAAACCGGAGGAAGGUGGGGACGACGUCAAAUCAUCACGGCCCUUAUGUCCAGGGCUACACACGUGCUACAAUGGCCGGUACAAUGAGUCGCAAGACCGCGAGGUGGAGCUAAUCUCAAAAAACCGGUCUCAGUUCGGAUUGGAGUCUGCAACUCGACUCCAUGAAGUUGGAAUCGCUAGUAAUCGUGGAUCAGCAUGCCACGGUGAAUACGUUCCCGGGCCUUGUACACACCG
rnacentral:rRNA from 1 species